rnacentral:rRNA from 1 species
GACGAACGCUGGCGGCGUGCUUAACACAUGCAAGUCGAACGAAAGGACGGGAAGAGCUUGCUCUUUCCGGAAUUGAGUGGCAAACGGGUGAGUAACACGUAAACAACCUGCCUUCAGGAUGGGGACAACAGACGGAAACGACUGCUAAUACCGAAUAAGUUCCAAGAGCCGCAUGGCCCAUGGAAGAAAAGGUGGCCUCUACCUGUAAGCUAUCGCCUGAAGAGGGGUUUGCGUCUGAUUAGCUGGUUGGAGGGGUAACGGGCCCACCCAAGGCGACGAUCAGUAGCCGGUCUGAGAGGAUGAACGGCCACACUGGAACUGAGACACGGUCCAAACUCCUACGGGAGGCAGCAGUGAGGAAUAUUGGUCAAUGGACGAGAGUCUGAACCAGCCAAGUAGCGUGCAGGAGACGG